UACGAAGGGGGCUAGCGUUGUUCGGAAUCACUGGGCGUAAAGCGCGCGUAGGCGGAUUUGUAAGUCAGAGGUGAAAUCCCGGGGCCCAACCCCGGAACUGCCUUUGAAACUACAAGUCUAGAAUCUUGGAGGGGGUAGUGGAAUUCCUAAUGUAGGGGUGAAAUCCGUAGAUAUUAGGAGGAACACCGGUGGCGAAGGCGGCUACCUGGACAAGUAUUGACGCUGAGGUGCGAAAGCGUGGGGAGCAAACAGG
rnacentral:rRNA from 1 species